GUGGGGAAUAUUGGACAAUGGGCGAAAGCCUGAUCCAGCCAUGCCGCGUGUGUGAAGAAGGUCUUCGGAUUGUAAAGCACUUUAUGUUGGGAGGAAGGGCAGUAAGUUAAUACCUUGCUGUUUUGACGUUACCGACAGAAUAAGCACCGGCUAACUUCGUGCCAGCAGCCGCGGUAAUACGAAGGGUGCAAGCGUUAAUCGGAAUUACUGGGCGUAAAGCGCGCGUAGGUGGUUUUGUAAGUUGGAGGUGAAAUCCCAGGGCUCAACCUGGGAACUGCCUACAAAACUGCAUGACUAGAGUACGGUAGAGGGGAGUGGAAUUUCCUGUGUAGCGGUGAAAUGCGUAGAUAUAGGAAGGAACACCAGUGGCGAAGGCGACUACCUGGACUGAUACUGACACUGAGGUGCGAAAGCGUGGGGAGCAAACAGGAUUAGAUACCCGUGUAGUCC
rnacentral:rRNA from 1 species